rnacentral:lncRNA from 1 species
UUUUCAGCCCCUGCCAACUACUGAUGCCUGGAAGGGUGGCACGGUGCCUAGACUUCAGGCAGGAACUAGCAGAUAACCGAAGCGGAGGGACAUCUGGAAGUCACCUCUCCAAGCCCUCUGCCCACACCCAGGCCGGCCCAGGAGGGCAGAUCAGACAGGGUCAGGUCAGUGCGUGGCAGAGGGCGAGGUGGCCACCUCCUCCUCCCGGUCCCUUUCUCCAGCCUCAUUUCUUACAUCAUAUUGGGAAGUCCCCACUCAGCUCUAACCCUUCCAGGUAAGCACAACCGCAACUGGUCAGUGGCCCAGGCCCUGGAGUCUGCAAAAAGUAAAAUGAGGUUUUUGGCUAAGUCUUUUCACCUCUCUGGCCCCCUCAUUCUUCAUGUGUAAGGCGGGACGGGUAAAGGUGAUAAUGAGAACGCCCGUCUCGCGGGGCUGCUGGCGGGAAGGGCGACAGAGCAGAGCCCGGGGAGAAAGCGUCCAAGCCACGACUUGGAGUGGCAGGUGCUGCAGGAAUAUUCUGUAACAGCCCUUCAGCCCUCCAGCCAAAUCCCCUCCGUCCUGGGUAGCACCGGCUCCUGCUCACCUCCGCCAGUCUGGUCUGCCUUGCGCGCUAGACUGUGAACUCUUCUUGGCAGGAUCUUGUUCAUUUUUAAUCACCGCGCGUUCCCCUCCCCAGCGUCUAGCCCGCGCUUGGGCAUGCAGGCCCAAUAUGCCCUCAAUAAAUAAGCGAGCGAGGGUGGGAGUCAGACCCCCUAGUCCUGACUGCCGGCCUGAGCCCUCCUCCGUAGGACCCUUUCCCCCUUGGGAACCGGCGGCGGUGACGGUGGCAGGGAAAAGAGGCGCUGCGGCUUUAAGAUUUCUCCUGGGCGUCCGGUUGCCAAGGCGCGGUUGCCAGGGGCUGCGUAGGGCGGUGUCCAGGCCUAGCACGCGGUUCCGCGCUUCCGCCGCCGUCGCCGCCGCCGCCACCGCCCGGCCGCGGGCUCGGCUGCUCCGAACCGUCUGGCGGACUUGGCACCGGCCCCCACUCCUGGUGCCCCCGCGGUGCGUGGCAGGCUGCGGCUUCAUUAUCCUGAUUGAUUCCUCCUGCUCCCCGACACCGUGGGGGCCCCGGCCGAGGAGGGGGGCGGAGGCAGCAUCUGCGGGCCCCUUCCCGGCUCGCCGCCCGCAGCCCGGCUCGCAGCGGUCCUGGCGGCCCUUGCCCCUGCCCAGGAGGAUGCGCAGGGCUGGGGUGCAGAAGGAGCGCGGGGACAGACUGAGAACUUGGCGGAGAGCGAGCCUGGCAGAACGGAAAAGGGUGGCCUUCUAG